AAGAGGCUGGACCCUGGGGUAUGUCUACGAAAGAGAAACCAUGCAGUGUCCUUCUACCAUGUCAGGCCUGGAACUGUGAAUGGACCGAAGACCAGUGGGGCCUUCAGCUACUGGCCUGGACUCUUGGAAGCAAACUUGUUUUUCUGUGAUUUACCAGAAACUCUCAGGACGAGAAUAUCUCAGUCUUCCAAGGUUUGGCUUCAUUGAUCCACUAAGAAGCACGGUCCCAUGCCCAAGGUCCAGCUUGAUGGAUUGUUUUAAGAGAACUAUUAUUGUCACACUGGAAAAAAAAAUCAUCAAAGUGCACCAAGGAAAGGAUGUUUGGGGCAGGUUAGAGCCCUGACAGUGCUUUGCCCCGGCCACCCCCACUGUGCUGCGAUUCCUUAUCAGUCCUACCUGGAGUGCCACAAAUCACUGCAAAUUGACUAUUAUGUCACCGUGGGCAUUGGGAUGACGAAUAACCUGGAGUAACGUCAUGGAUUCUAAGCAGAAAGUUUUCUUGCUUGUGUCAACUCACAUAGAAGUAUUAGGAGCAGUGCUGAAUUGAUGCUCUAUCUUUAUGAGCCUCUUUGACAAAAUGAGAGUUGGAAGGAGUUAGUUUCUGCUUGCCCAGAAGUGGUGGUAUGGGAACAUGCCCUGGAUUCUGAGCUGUGAACAAGCCAAGGACCUCAAGCUGUCCUCGCU
rnacentral:lncRNA from 1 species